UAGGAUUACGGUACCGUAAUCGUAGCCACUGCCUAACCGGAAGCCGCUGUUCCGUAUCGCACAAUUUUUUUGCGAAAAUUUCAGGAUUACUGAUCCUAUGUGAGACAGUCCUCCAUUUCGAAUCUUGCAGCAUCGUUAAUGACAAGAUGUUGGAGGUUUUCACAGGUAGAUAUUUCAAGCUGCUAAAACCAACUGCACUUGUCCAUCAGAAGAAGAAAUAUAUACUGUAACAGCAUAUUCGUCCUAAGGAACAGUGAACACCAAGAAGAAGAUGUUCUAAGGAACCAGACUCUCUGGACCAUAAGGCAUAUAUGAUAAUCAACCAAAAAGUGAUUCAAAUGCAGUGGCGGUGGGUACAAUUUGAAGAGAAAAUAGGAGAGAACAAUUCAUGCUUGGCAGACAAAGAAAACUUUAAAUGAUAGGGAACAAGUUGGAAGCUUCCAAGCAGUAUUAACUCCCCAGAAGCAAAAUUCAGAAGAGCUCUAUAUAUAUCCAUAAAAAAUGUGCUAAGUUUUACAAAGUUACACCAGAAAAAAGUAAGCCUUUGAAAAGUUGCAAAACCAUACUAUCUGCAGGUAUAAAUGAAAACAGUAGUGAAGCACUUUCUGACUGUGAACUUGAAAGUGACCUUGAUUGUGAAAAUGAACCUGAUAAGGAUAGUGAACUUGAUAGUGAAAAUGAACCCAGUAGUGCUAGGGAACUUGAUAGUGAAAGUGAACCCAUUAAUGCUUGUGAACUUGAUAGUGAAAGUGAACCAAAUAGUGCUGGUGAACUUGAUAGUAUUUAUAAGUGAACGCAACAGUGCUAGUGAACUUGUUAUUGAAAGUAGUACUGAAAGUCAUUAUGAAUCGGGUGCAAGUGUUCAUUCAGACUCUCCGCAGAACAAAUGUUGCUUAGACAAACGUUUGUUCACAGGUUGCAAGCUUACAGAAAUGUUCAUAUACAAUGAUAAUGCUUUUUGGUAUGAAGCACUCUCUUUCCACUGAGGCGUUCAGUGACUUGCUUCUUUUGAUAUCUUGUCAUUUGCCAGAGUCAGCAAUGGCAACAUUUGCCAAAUCAGUAUACAGAGUAAAAGACACUCUGAAAUAAUCUAUGAAUUACCAAAAGCCAGUCAAACACUUGUACUGUGAAGUAUGCCAGCAAUACAGCACUACUGACAAUGUAUGUAACAAAGACAACUGUAGGAGCAGAAAUGCCAUAAUGUUAGAUUUCUAUGAUUUGCAGCUUGAGCAACAAU